UUUCCUGCAGAGGAGACCUUUUCAUUCGUCUUGCACAUUCUGCGCGAGGUACAGCUUAAAUAACACCAAAGAGCUACUUUGUUAUUUACAAAUCUUCAACUCCAUUGAAAUAGUUCUUUUCUGUAGCUGUAUGACUAUGACUCUUAAUGCUUAAUAUUUGUACUCUCAUAAAUUUCAGGUGUAAUGAGCUCAAGAAAACCAUUGCUGCUGGUGUUGUGAGCAUCUCUCUAUCUGUUCUAUUGGGUUCUACUGUGUUUGGUUUCUUGAGUGAAACAUUAUGGUAACGCCCUUAUGUCCUUACUAUAAUUUAAAUUUCAGCCUAUAUAUAUGUUCACUAAACGAUGCAUAAGGGAGUGAUCUGUAACCACAAUAUGUCUCACGUUUAGAUUUCUUAGAGCUGAGACCACUUUUAAGUUUUAAGCAUCACAAGUAAAUAACUCUUUAACAUUGUCUUAAAUUUCCUAAGCGGUUUGCUUGAAUCUUGCAAAUACCAGCUGAUAAUCCUAAAACUUUUUCUUUUUAGCCAUUGACAUUGUCAUUUCUUACAAAACACGAAUAUGUUUACACAGGGUGUUACAAUACGAAGAAGCCAAUGGUAGCGGAAUAUAGAAAUAUUGUAGGAUACAAGAGACAUAGAACACACAUGGGAUGAUGAUCAUCUCAGUGGAACUUGAGGCUGGUCAAGACGUUGUUGUUGACGGGAUCCGCCAAGUGAUCAAGCAGGUUCUGGUAAGGCCCGACUCCGGUCACUAGUCCCUGGAUGAAGUAACCGAGGAUGGCGAGCAUAGCCAGUCUACCGUUCUUGACCUCCUUGAGUUUCAACUCUUUCAUUGACUUCUCAUCUUUCCCAAACCCAAGAGGGUUGAAGAAAGGUCCACCGGGGUAUGAUGGGUCACCUGAACCGGCCAAACCCUUCUCUAACCCCAAGAAGUACUGUUUCCCCAUAGAUCCUGG
rnacentral:lncRNA from 1 species